GACGAACCGUGCGAACGUUAUUCGGAAUCACUGGGCUUAAAGCGCGUGUAGGCGGGCCGGCACGUCCGACGCUGAAAUCCCCCGGCUCAACCGGGGAACGGGCGGGGAUACGACCGGCCUGGAGGGACGUAGGGGGACCUGGAACUUCCGGUGGAGCGGUGAAAUGCGUUGAGAUCGGAAGGAACGCCCGUGGCGAAAGCGAGGUCCUGGACGUUUUCUGACGCUGAGACGCGAAAGCCAGGGGAGCGAACGGG
rnacentral:rRNA from 1 species